UACGUAGGGGGCGAGCGUUGUCCGGAUUUAUUGGGCGUAAAGCGCGCGCAGGCGGUUCGUUCAGUCCGUUGUGAAAGCUCCCGGCUCAACUGGGAGAGGUCUUCGGAUACUGGCGGACUCGAGGGAGGCAGAGGAAGGUGGAAUUCCGGGUGUAGUGGUGAAAUGCGUAGAGAUCCGGAGGAACACCAGCGGCGAAGGCGGCCUUCUGGGCCUUUCCUGACGCUGAGGCGCGAAAGCGUGGGGAGCGAACCGG
rnacentral:misc_RNA from 1 species